ACAGGCCUUCUUGUUGGGAGGGAAGCCAUCACUGAAGCCAUUAACCUGAUCUCUGCCCAGUGGGGAACCAGCACUCUCCAACUUCCUCUUCACUGUCUCUUGCAACUGGAGGGAUACACAAAAACAAUUUAACGCAGCAGAACCACCAGCCCAUCUCUGCACAGCCUCAGCUGAUCCUCACACGGUUUCACAUACCGCAACAGCUGCAGAACUUGAUGCAGCAGACAAUCAGAGCUGGUGACAGGUGAGGACGGUUUUGAUGCACCUGCUGUCUGUGUGAUGACCUGUCGGGAGCCUCAACCAUCAAGGCAGACUUUGGACUCACAACCCUCAGUUUUCGAACGCCUUCCAUAGACUGUAAAUGGCGAUCACCACUGCCCUCACACUAAUUUUUUCAGAUUCCAGAGAUGCAUGCACUGUAGUCGCUUUAAGUUCCUCUCACUGUUGCUGAAUUCUGAGGAUCCAAAAUUUUAAUAAUGUUGAACCAUAAUACAUUAACAGGUGUCUACAGUUAGCUCGUACUCACUGUCUUACUCAGGGACACUUAAACUGAGCCAGGUGGCCUCUGACCAAGAAGCCGCACAUACUGCGCUAUGAUGGGAAACCACCACAAAACAACACUUCCUCCACCAAUUACACAAGCACAAACACUGAACAGCAGCUCCACCUGUGUCAUUCACACUAAACAGCCUGAGUGUCAUACGCUUUAGAUACACAACCCCACAAGUCAGUCAGACUCAGCACAGGUUCAGGCUACACCUACGGCUUGUUUACUCUCAGACAUUCUAGAUUGACCCAUUUAUGAACUUGUAGCUGUUGUGCUCAGCUCAGCGUUUCCACUGAAUUCCCCUCCUUUGGAGAAGGGCUAUGCAAAAUAAAUCUUCUCAGGAGGUUGUACUGCAAACAGCAAGACAGCAGUAAAUGCACCAGAUUAUUAGUCUUAAACCUAAAAUUCUCAUGCGAAUAAAAACAUAUUGCAUGCGUUUACUUAAUUGGUUACUUAAAAUGUGAGCUUGAAAUAGACAAACGAGGAGAUAAGCUGGAGGGGAGAACUAAGCUCCAACUGAAGACAAUCGUCUGUCGACAAAACUCCCUGUUUUGUAACACUCCAGCCAAGUUCAGGUGGUUGGAGGUUGCUGUGAUUUUGAAACGUGGUGGAAAAUGUGCUUUUCAGGUGUAAAUGGUGGACUCAGAUGUCACCCAAGAUGCCUUUAAAGCAAAGACAGACACAACUGUAUGGAAAUUAUACAGAAAGACACAAACCAGGAUGAUGGAGGUCAAAAAGUAGCACAAAGUAGGAAAUCAAGCAGAGCUGCAUUUUCAAAGGACAGCGACACAAGCCGAGACCUCAUCUCUGUGUGUUUUAGUUACGCCACAACAGUGUCUUUCAUCACACAAACAGGACUUACUAUAUUCAGCUUACAAUGCCACAAGCAUUAAACUACCAUUUUGUUAAUAAAACCUCAGUCACUGUGAACUUUGUUAUUAUAAAUGUACACCACAUAAAUGCCCUAAUUUAAAAGA